GUACACGCUGUGACUAGCAUAUCAAUAAGCGGAGGAAAAGAAACUAACAAGGAUUCCCCUAGUAACGGCGAGUGAAGCGGGAAGAGCUCAAAUUUGAAAUCUUAAAGGGUUUCCCUUUACGAAUUGUAGUUUAAAGAAGUGUUUUCUGUUGAGGUUUUGGUAAAAGUUCUUUGGAAUAGGACAUCAUAGAGGGUGAGAAUCCCGUAUUUGACCUUUACUUUCAACUUUGUGAUACACUUUCAAAGAGUCGGAUUGUUUUGGGAAUGCAGUCCAAAAUGGGUGGUAAAUUUCAUCUAAAGCUAAAUAUUGGCGAGAGACCGAUAGCGAACAAGUACCGUGAGGGAAAGAUGAAAAGAACUUUGAAAAGAGAGUUAAACAGUACGUGAAAUUGUCAAAAGGGAAGCGUUUGACACCAGUGUUGUUUUUCUGAAAAUCAAUUAAAGAACUGUUUAUGCUAAGUUGUUUAGACUUUAUCAGCUAACUGUUUAGUUUUGAGCUUUUCUUUAAUGCACUUUUCAGUUAACAAGUCAACAUCAAUUUCUUUUGCUGUAAAAAAGCUUGAGGAAGGUGGCUUGAGAUUCGUCUUAAGUGUUUAUAGCCUCUUGCCUAUGCAGUCGGAGAGAUUGAGGUCUGCAGCGUAGAUCCUUCGGGGCUAAAUGCAUUUGUGCUAAGUUAUAGCAUUUUAUAGACAACUUGUUGACUAUGAUUUGUCUUGUAGCUUACUCGCUUAUGUUAUUUUACCUACGCUUAGGAUGUUGAAGAUGUAGCACAUCAU
rnacentral:rRNA from 1 species